AGAGUUUGAUCCUGGCUCAGGAUGAACGCUAGCGGCAGGCUUAAUACAUGCAAGUCGAACGGCAGCAGCACCUUCGGGUGGCUGGCGAGUGGCGCACGGGUGAGUAACGCGUACGGAAUCUGCCCUUAACUGGGGGAAAGUCGCUGGAAACGGCGAAUAAUCCCGCAUAACACAUAUUUGAGGCAUCUCAGAUAUGUCAAAGCUUCGGCGGUUAAGGAUGAUCGUGCGUUCCAUUAGCUAGAUGGUGAGGUAACGGCUCACCAUGGCGACGAUGGUUAGGGGGCGUGAGAGCGUGAUCCCCCACACGGGUACUGAGACACGGACCCGACUCCUACGGGAGGCAGCAGUAAGGAAUAUUGGUCAAUGGACGGAAGUCUGAACCAGCCAUGCCGCGUGUGUGAAGAAGGCCCUAUGGGUUGUAAAGCACUUUUAUCUGGGAAGAAUGACGAGGAUUUAUCCUUGGAGAGACGGUACCAGAAGAAUAAGCACCGGCUAACUCCGUGCCAGCAGCCGCGGUAAUACGGAGGGUGCCAGCGUUAUCCGGAAUCACUGGGUUUAAAGGGUACGUAGGCGGUUAUAUAAGUCAGACGUUAAAGGCUGUGGCUAAACCAUGGUACGCGUUUGAAACUGUAUAACUUGAAUAUAUUCGAGGUGCACGGAAUGCGUCAUGUAGCGGUGAAAUGCAUAGAUAUGACGUAGAACACCGAAUGCGAAGGCAGUGCACUAGGGUAUUAUUGACGCUGAUGUACGAAAGCGUGGGUAGCGAACAGGAUUAGAUACCCUGGUAGUCCACGCCCUAAACGAU
rnacentral:rRNA from 1 species